rnacentral:lncRNA from 1 species
CUUAGGACUAUUUAGAUUCGAUAAAGAGAGGAUUUAUCGAUUAGUUCUUAAAACUGUUCACGAUCAAAUGAUAGGCUGUUAAUAAGGGCGACAGCUUCUAUCGAGCAUAGGUCGCUGUAGGCCAUAUGGGUUGGUUGUCCUCUUAACCAAAGAGUAUGGAGAUACUGGUAUGACAUACAGAUGAGAUGUAAAGGUACAUCAUCAUUGAACUUGACCAACUCCAGAGCAUUCUGUUGUCGAGAAUGUCUUUGAUGGGAUAUAGGUAUAAGUGUCCCUUAGACCUGAGAUCACUUCAGUAACUUGCAAGCAACUCACUGUGCUUUGGUACUGGACUAACUGAAUUUCUAAUUUAGUGAUGGAAGGCUUCUGGGCAUAGUCAAGUACUUGCAAAGUCAGAGUGUGAUCGAGAUGGGAUUGACCACUCCAAGAGUUGGAGAAGAAUGAGUCACUGUAUUUCAAUUU